rnacentral:rRNA from 1 species
UACGAAGGGGGCUAGCGUUGCUCGGAAUCACUGGGCGUAAAGGGUGCGUAGGCGGGUCUUUAAGUCAGGGGUGAAAUCCUGGAGCUCAACUCCAGAACUGCCUUUGAUACUGAAGAUCUUGAGUUCGGGAGAGGUGAGUGGAACUGCGAGUGUAGAGGUGAAAUUCGUAGAUAUUCGCAAGAACACCAGUGGCGAAGGCGGCUCACUGGCCCGAUAAUGACGCUGAGGCACGAAAGCGUGGGGAGCAAACAGG